AGAGUUUGAUCCUGGCUCAGAUUGAACGCUGGCGGAAUGCUUUACACAUGCAAGUCGUACGGCAGCACGAGGGCAACCUUGGUGGCGAGUGGCGAACGGGUGAGUAAUACAUCGGAACGUGCCCAAUCGUGGGGGAUAACGUAGCGAAAGCUACGCUAAUACCGCAUACGAUCUACGGAUGAAAGCGGGGGAUCGCAAGACCUCGCGCGAAUGGAGCGGCCGAUGGCAGAUUAGGUAGUUGGUGGGGUAAAGGCUCACCAAGCCGACGAUCUGUAGCUGGUCUGAGAGGACGACCAGCCACACUGGGACUGAGACACGGCCCAGACUCCUACGGGAGGCAGCAGUGGGGAAUUUUGGACAAUGGGCGCAAGCCUGAUCCAGCCAUUCCGCGUGCAGGAUGAAGGCCUUCGGGUUGUAAACUGCUUUUGUACGGAACGAAACGGCCUUUUCUAAUACAGAGGGCUAAUGACGGUACCGUAAGAAUAAGCACCGGCUAACUACGUGCCAGCAGCCGCGGUAAUACGUAGGGUGCAAGCGUUAAUCGGAAUUACUGGGCGUAAAGCGUGCGCAGGCGGUUAUGUAAGACAGAUGUGAAAUCCCCGGGCUCAACCUGGGAACUGCAUUUGUGACUGCAUAGCUAGAGUAUGGUAGAGGGGGAUGGAAUUCCGCGUGUAGCAGUGAAAUGCGUAGAUAUGCGGAGGAACACCGAUGGCGAAGGCAAUCCCCUGGACCUGUACUGACGCUCAUGCACGAAAGCGUGGGGAGCAAACAGGAUUAGAUACCCUGGUAGUCCACGCCCUAAACGAUGUCAACUGGUUGUUGGGUCUUCACUGACUCAGUAACGAAGCUAACGCGUGAAGUUGACCGCCCGGGGAGUACGGCCGCAAGGUUGAAGCUCAAAGGAAUUGACGGGGACCCGCACAAGCGGUGGAUGAUGUGGUUUAAUUCGAUGCAACGCGAAAAACCUUACCCACCUUUGACAUGUACGGAAUUUGCCAGAGAUGGCUUAGUGCUCGAAAGAGAACCGUAACACAGGUGCUGCAUGGCUGUCGUCAGCUCGUGUCGUGAGAUGUUGGGUUAAGUCCCGCAACGAGCGCAACCCUUGUCAUUAGUUGCUACAUUUAGUUGGGCACUCUAAUGAGACUGCCGGUGACAAACCGGAGGAAGGUGGGGAUGACGUCAAGUCCUCAUGGCCCUUAUAGGUGGGGCUACACACGCCAUACAAUGGCCGGUACAAAGGGCUGCCAACCCGCGAGGGGGAGCUAAUCCCAUAAAACCGGUCGUAGUCCGGAUCGCAGUCUGCAACUCGACUGCGUGAAGUCGGAAUCGCUAGUAAUCGUGGAUCAGAAUGUCACGGUGAAUACGUUCCCGGGUCUUGUACACACCGCCCGUCACACCAUGGGAGCGGGUUCUGCCAGAAGUAGUUAGCCUAACCGCAAGGAGGGCGAUUACCACGGCAGGGUUCGUGACUGGGGUGAAGUCGUAACAAGGUA
rnacentral:rRNA from 1 species